rnacentral:rRNA from 1 species
GACGAACGCUGGCGGCGUGCUUAACACAUGCAAGUCGAACGGAAAGGCCCUGCUUGCUGGGUGCUCGAGUGGCGAACGGGUGAGUAACACGUGGGUGAUCUGCCCCUUACUUUGGGAUACGCCUGGGAAACUGGGUCUAAUACUGGAUAGGACCAUGCUGUAGGUGGUGUGGUGGAAAGAUUAGUUUCGGUAAGGGAUGAGCUCGCGGCCUAUCAGCUUGUUGGUGGGGUAAUGGCCUACCAAGGCGUCGACGGGUAGCCGGCCUGAGAGGGUGGACGGCCACAUUGGGACUGAGCUACGGCCCAGACUCCUACGGGAGGCAGCAGUGGGGAAUAUUGCACAAUGGGGGCAAGCCUGAUGCAGCGACGCCGCGUGGGGGUUGACGGCCUUCGGGUUGUAAACUCCUUUCCGCCAUGACGAAGCCCUUGUGGUGACGGUAGUGGUAGAAGAAGCACCGGCUAACUACGUG